UGCCACUAGUGGCUGAUCCUUUCUUGCUUUUUGCUCCCAUGUAUUUAAUACAUGGUCUUUGUUCCUCAUGUUCAUUUCAUGGUUCCAUCUACUUUCCAGAGAUGGGGAAGGGUGAAGGACAAAGGUGUCUGCUGAUUGAAGGAACCCACUUCAACAGAGAGCCAGAGGAGCCCAUACACGACUGCCGACAGACCGAUGGACAUCCUUCACCCUGCUCGACCAGACCUCACCAACCUCCCCCUGCAGAACCCAGAGGAGGUACUGUAUAUGGAUCGCAGCAGCUUCAUGGUCAAUGGAGUCAGGUAUGCUGGGGCAGCCGUAGUCAUCCUAGAGCAGGUUGUCUGGGCCCAGGCUCUACCACAUGGAACCUCGGCCCAAAAAACAGAACUCAUAGCUCUGACAGAGGCCUUAAACUCAGCAGAGGGAAAAAAUAUUAA
rnacentral:lncRNA from 13 species